AUUAUUUAUAUUCGAAGAGAGGGCAUUUUCUUAAAGACUAGAAGCACUCUAGUGUUGUAAAUAUUUUUCAAACACCCGUAAACUUAGUGGAUACCCAAAGAGAACUUAGAGAGUGGACGUAAGCAAUGAUUCGCCAAACCACUAUAAAUUGUUUGCACUCUCUUCUCUCUUCUUAUUGCUUAUUUAUUUGAUUAGAGUGCAUAGUAAAUUUAUUGUUAAGUAAACUUUUAAUUGGUUAUUAAGAGUAGCAAACCUAUUCACUCCUCAUAGUUUGAUUUUUAGCUAAGAGAAAUAAAAAUGAAAAAGGUAUGUGAUCCAAUAGUUUUGAACAAUUGGAUCGUCAGCUUUUUUUAUUUUUAUUUUAUUUUUUCUCACUAAAUUUAGAAUCCAAACACAAUCUUAGGGUGUGAAUUUCGAAAUCUACAAAUAUAAUAUAGGCUACGUUCAUUUGGUGUGAAUUCAGUUAGUGGUUGCAAUUAAGGUCUCUUGUAAGUACGAUAUGAAUAAUGUUUGAUUCUUUUAUGUUGUCUUUUUUUAGUUCUCUUUUUUGUGUGCUUGAUUAGAUUAGUUAUGUAAUUAAUUAUAACUCUAGUUGGACUGGGGCAAAUUAAAUUAAUUGAUUGUUAGAUUAUUAAUUAAUUAAUAUCAUGGUUAUAUCAUUGUGUGACAAGGGUUUGAUAAAUUACCGAAGCAUUUUUAUCCUAGUGACUAUAAUAUCCGAAAGCUUAGGUUGCGUUUCGAAAGGAAAGAAAUGGAAAAGAAUGGACACUAAUAAUUUUCCCUUUUCCAGGUUUCGUAUCUAGUUUUAAGAAGGAAAGUCAGUCAAAACUUAUUUUCUUUCUUGUUUUGAAAUUUUCUUUUCACAUUUUCACCUCUUAAUUUUAUCUAAAAUUAAAUAAAAAUAAUUUUUUUUUUUUUUACAAAAAACAAACAAAGAGAAAUAUAUAGUUUUCUCUAGAUUCUUCCUUUUAAUUCCUUUAUCUAGUUUCUCUUUCUUUUUCUUUACACAAUUUCCAAACACAGGCUUAAUCAUGGGAGAGAGAGGUUGCUAGGUUGUGUAAUUAGCAAAAUUUCAUGACACGUCUUAUUUGAUGUAAUUUGGAGAUUUAGUUUAUCAAUUACAAGCAUUCGGAAAGAUUUCAAGCAUUCAAAAAGGUUUUUAAGUAUAUUCAUACAAGAUCAUGCUAACAGAGACUUGUAAGAUACAUCGUGGAUGAUAAACGGGACUUCAAGGGAUUUCGAGAGAUGACAAUCAUUAGAUCAUAGAGUUGAUAGAUUUUAAUUGUAAGAGUCUUGUAAUCAUCUGAACAUCGAGUUAUAGUGCAUGAUCUUUGUCCAGAGAAGGGAACACGUGAUUUUUCUUUCAUUCAAGGGUUUCCACGGUAAAAAUCUUGUGUAUUUCUUGGUUAAUGGGUUUGUUUCUUUUUAUAUCUUGAAUCUUACAAUAUUGCACAAAGUCGUGAUAUUCAUUUAAUAUUGUAGUUUUUAGAUCAUUGGGUAAAACAUAGACAAAUGUUAGGUUUUCUAAAUGUCAAUUACACAAAUAGAUACACAGUAUUAUUAUACAUAGAGGGAGCAAUAGCCCACAAGUAGAAGUUUCAGUUUCACCACACCCAUAUUAUUAACAGAUGGAAAUAUAUAUUUAUUCUUGAGAGGUACACACUGAUCACACAUCUACUGCUCCAUACCAAGUAAGCCAGAUAAUGGCAUUUAUAUCUCCAUUAUAUCACUUGAGAUGGUGGGUCUCAAUGUCUUUUGUGAUCUCAAUACAGAGGUCCAUCAAUUUGUUUGGCUCUUCAACAUCUUCUUUCGGCUUUUCAUAGUGAAAGUUCCAUGUCACCGAGGUGUUUUCCCCUUUUGUGUCCACAUGAACAACAAUCAUAAAGGUCUUGUACAGAUCCAUAAGAUCUCCUUCAACAACCUUGAAUGUCACGGACUUGGUUUCUUCUUCAGUUCUUCUAUUGCUUCAACAAUUUCCUUAGCAGCCUUCUCCUUUCUAUCUGUGGUUUUCAUCACAUUAAAUGCAACUUCUUAAGUCAAGCUAGUCAAGGCGUAUCCACAAUUUUAAUUUUGGGGAGCUGAAUAUAUAUAUAAAACACAUAAUUUGUAAAUUACACAUGUAAUAUAUUGGACCUAGAAUUUCUCUCCUAGGUGCUUUCAAUUGCUUGUAAUAAAACAUAAUAUUUUUAUGUAAUUUUUAUAUAUUUUAUAUUUUGAGUAUUUGUCUGUGAAUCCAACCCUAUAGUUGUAAUUUAAAGAAAUUCUGAAACUACGAGGACAAAAGUGCAAUUUUGUACUAGAGGAGGUUAAGAAGACUAUAAAUACAUGAGGGAGGCAACCCUAAUUGGGAGUAAGAGCCAACAAUAUUGUUUAUCCAUGCUCUUUGUGUACUUGAGAGAUUUUUAGAGAAAUCAUUGAGCUUCAUCUUUUCUCUUAAGGUGUGUUUAUCAUAAACUCAUCAAAUCAAGAUUUAAAUCCUUUGGACAUACUCAAAGGCGGAUAGAUUUAAGUUCAAUUCAUAGAUGAUUGUUGAUGAUUCAAUACUCAACCAUUAACUGAAGCGUAGAUCGUGGACUCAGUCAGUACUAGGAUCACAUUCACAUGUUCGAGGAUUUGACACCUAAGGCGCGUGAAUUUAGUUAGAUUGAGUUUGUAAGUUAUAACUUAUAUUUUGCAUAGUGGAUUAGUUGAUCGUACUUAGUUCCAGAUUUUUUUUUCUACUUUGAGAUUUUGCACGUAAAAAAUUGCUUGUUUUUGUGUGUGCUUGAUUUUAUAUUUAUUUGAGGUUUUUAUUUGUUUGGUUAAAUAGCUUCGCAAAUUCAUAAAACGAAUAAAACUAUAUUUUUAAUUUUACAAUUGGUAUCAGAGCGGGUCACUCAAAAUAAAAUAUUUUUUUAUUUUUUUUCAGAGUAUGGUCUGAUUGAUUUGUUUCUAUGUAUAAAUUUGAUCGUAAGAAGCUUGACAAUAUUCAACAAGCCUAUGAUAACUUUGUAAGGAGUCUUAUGAGAAGAACAAAAUUUAUGAAAAAUGUAAUGCAAAAGUGGAAUCACUUAAGAAGUCUUAAGAGAUGAAUAUAAAUAAGAGCUAAUUGAAGCUCAAGCUACCGUGGGUGAAUUGAAUCGUAUAAUGCUACUUUGUCUAAAAAAAAAAUUAUUAUUGAAAAAGAGAAAAAAUAAAUAUUUGAUAAGUUGAAUUUACUUUUUGAAAAACAUUUAAAACCUGACAAAGAUAUGCAUUUGUGUCUUGAGUCAAAAGAUAAUCUUGAGGAAAAAGUGGGUAAAUUAGAAUUUGAUCUUAGUGCUUCUAAUGCUACUCUCGAGAAGUUUAAUGCAGAUUCAAAGGUUUUGGAUGAAAUUAUUUGCGUGCAAAAAUUUUCUUCUGACAAGAGAGGACUUGGAUAUGUUGAUAAGCCUUCAUCUUCUUCCAAAUCGGGGAACAUGGAUAUUUUUGUGAACCCUAAAAAAUGUGGUUCCAAUCUUUCCAAGGCCAACCAAACAAAGGGAUCUCCUAAGAAAACCGUCACAAAUGUAUAGGUAAAAUCAUCUAAUUUUAAUCUUGUUUGCCAUCAGUGUAGUGUCCAUGGUCAUAUUAGGCAUUUAUUGAUUUAAUGAUUGUUUUGAUGAUAUUUGAUGAUGUCAAGGUUUCAUCAUGUAUGGUCUUAAUAUUGAUAUAUGCACAAAAUGUAUAUAUAUAUAUAUAUAUAUAUAUAUAUUAUUUAUCAUAUUAAUACAUAUAUAUUAGAUUCAUGGUAUGAUUAUGCGUAUUCUACAUUAGUAUUUUUCAUUCUAUUAGUAUUAUACACCUUCAAAGUUCAGUCGAUCAAAAUUGCAACUGAAACAAAGUUUGAUUGACUGAAGUUGACUUUUGGUCGGCCGAACUUUCGACCAAAAUUUAAAAUUUUCAAUCCUAACAGUCCAAAUCAAGUUCCAACGGCCCAAAUUAAAUUCUAAUUACUCUAUUACUAUUUCAACAAGUAGAUUUGCUAAGAUGGCUAUAAAUACAACCCUUAACUAGAUGCAAAUUAUGAUGGGAUGAAAUAGGUUUGAUAGGAUUAAUGACCAAUUAAAAUUCUUGUUAAAACUUAUACUAGCAAUGCACUCUCAAUUUAAGCAAAUAUAUAUAAACAACUUAAAAGAGGGGAGAGAAAAUAGUGCAAACGAUUUAUAAUGGUUCAACAAAUCUCAGCCUACGUCCACUCUCCAAACUUCUCAUUGGAAAUUCAUUAUCUUCAAAUUUGUGAGUGCUUGAAAAUCUUUAUAAAUACUAGAACCUUUUAGUCGUCAAGAGAGUCCCUCUCUUAGGAAUUUUACAAUUACUUAUAGUGAUCCUUUCAACAAGAUACAAUAGUUGAAGUGAUUCUUACUUACCAACUCUAGAUCAAGGAUAAAUACAAUCAUAUCUAGAAUGAUCUUGCUCACUUUGAUUUUUGGCAAAUCAAACUCACAAUAAAUGAACAAAUGAUUGAAGUAUUGAAUACAAAUGUUAUUAGGAUUUUAUGGCACUUCAAUACCCUUCCAACAAACCCAAGGAUUGAAUUAUAAGCCAAAAGUUAAAUAGAGUCAUUGCAGCAUGUAAUGCAUCUGAUUAAGCCAUUCUGAUUGAAUCUCAGCCGUUGGAUCUUGAUUUGGACUGCAGGAUUAAAAUGUUCAAACUUCGGUUGACCAAACUUUAAUUAUGGUCGAAAUUGCACUGAGAUUUCAGAGAUUAACUUUUCUUGUUUACUGAAGGGUUGGGGAACUUCGGUCGAGGUUUUGUAACUUUCGAUCGAACGAAUGUCAACUUCGGUUGACAUUGCUCUACAAUUUCAGUAAGCUCUUUAAUCUCUAAUUUGGCUCUUAACUGAUUUCGAUUGAUCGAAUCUUAACUUUGAUCGACUGAACCUUACCUUUAGUUAAGGUUGUACUAAAUUUUCAAUGAGCUCUUGGUUCCUCUAUUUUCACUUCAGCUAUGCUUUCUUAACUUCGGUCGACCAAUUGUGGACUUUGGUUGUAGUUGCUUUG
rnacentral:lncRNA from 1 species